GAGCGAGGUGUGACGACGUCUCCUGCCGACCGGCGAUCCCGGUCCCCACCUGGCAUGGAAACAGAUCGUCAGGCAAGUUCAAGAACCUGUGGGCCCUUGUGUACGUUCUGUUGCAUACAUAGUCAGGUGUUAAUCUAUUCAAUAGAAAAUAUUAAUUUUAUUCAAGACAAGAAACUUUGAUUGGCGAGAAAAAAAACAUAAAUCAUUAAUAGCCGAUUCGCUCUCGAACUUAUACAUACUCUUUCGUG